GACGAACGCUGGCGGCGUGCCUAAUACAUGCAAGUCGAACGAACCGCGACUAGGUGCUUGCACUUGGUCAAGGUGAGUGGCGAACGGGUGAGUAACACGUGGGUAACCUACCUCAUAGUGGGGGAUAACAGUCGGAAACGACUGCUAAUACCGCAUAGGACAUAGGAUCACAUGAUCCAGUGAGGAAAGGUGGCGCAAGCUAUCGCUAAGAGAUGGACCCGCGGUGCAUUAGCUAGUUGGUAGGGUAAAGGCCUACCAAGGCGAUGAUGCAUAGCCGACCUGAGAGGGUGACCGGCCACAUUGGGACUGAGACACGGCCCAAACUCCUACGGGAGGCAGCAGUAGGGAAUCUUCCGCAAUGGACGCAAGUCUGACGGAGCAACGCCGCGUGAGUGAAGAAGGUCUUCGGAUCGUAAAGCUCUGUUGUUAGAGAAGAACAGCGCAUAGAGUAACUGUUAUGCGUGUGACGGUAUCUAACCAGAAAGCCACGGCUAACUACGUG
rnacentral:rRNA from 1 species